rnacentral:rRNA from 1 species
CUCGGUCGCGACCCCAGGUCAGG